AUUCAGCUGAUGAGUAGCAAGUAGGACGAAACGCGAGUCCAGAAU
rnacentral:hammerhead_ribozyme from 1 species